AAUCAACGCUGGCGGCGUGCCUCAGACAUGCAAGUCGAACGCGAAAGUUUCCUUCGGGAGAUGAGUAGAGUGGCGCACGGGUGAGUAACACGUGAGUAAUUUACCUUCGGGUGGGGAAUACUAACCGGAAACGGUUGUUAUACCGCAUAAUGCAGCGGCAUCAAUGAUGACAGUUGUUAAAGCGGGGGAGUUGGAGCAAUCCGACCUCGCGCCUGAAGAGAAGCUCGCGGCAGAUUAGCUAGUUGGUAAGGUAAUGGCUUACCAAGGCGACGAUCUGUAACCGGCCUGAGAGGGCGGUC
rnacentral:rRNA from 1 species